rnacentral:rRNA from 1 species
AGAGUUUGAUCCUGGCUCAGAUUGAACGCUGGCGGCAUGCCUUACACAUGCAAGUCGAACGGUAACAGGUCUUCGGAUGCUGACGAGUGGCGAACGGGUGAGUAACACAUCGGAACGUGCCCGAUCGUGGGGGAUAACGGAGCGAAAGCUUUGCUAAUACCGCAUACGAUCUACGGAUGAAAGCAGGGGACCCUUGGGCCUUGCGCGGACGGAGCGGCCGAUGGCAGAUUAGGUAGUUGGUGGGAUAAAAGCUUACCAAGCCGACGAUCUGUAGCUGGUCUGAGAGGACGACCAGCCACACUGGGACUGAGACACGGCCCAGACUCCUACGGGAGGCAGCAGUGGGGAAUUUUGGACAAUGGGCGCAAGCCUGAUCCAGCCAUGCCGCGUGCAGGAUGAAGGCCUUCGGGUUGUAAACUGCUUUUGUACGGAACGAAAAGACUCCUUCAAAUAAAGGGGGUUCAUGACGGUACCGUAAGAAUAAGCACCGGCUAACUACGUGCCAGCAGCCGCGGUAAUA